AAUCAAACAAAAAUGAACGGAGGA
rnacentral:snRNA from 1 species